GCCGCUAUGGUGAAAUUGGUAGACACGCUGCUCUUAGGAAGCAGUGCUCAAGCAUCUCGGUUCGAGUCCGAGUGGCGGCA
rnacentral:tRNA from 24 species